rnacentral:rRNA from 1 species
AUUGAACGCUGGCGGCAGGCCUAACACAUGCACGUCGAGCGAGCGGCGGACGGGUGAGUAAUGUAUGGGGACUGCCCGAUAGAGGGGGAUAACUACUGCAAACGGUGGCUAAUACCGCAUACUGUCGGAUAACCCAUAUGGGAUUAGCUAGUAGGUAAGGUAAUGGCUUACCUGGGCGACGAUCCCUAGCUGGUCUGAGAGGAUCGUCAGCGAGAAUGGGACUGAGACACGGCCAAGACUCCUAGGGCGGCAGCAGUGGGGAAUAUUGCACAAUGGGCGCAAGCCUGAUGCAGGCAUGCCGCGUGUAUGACGAAGGCCCUAGGGUUGUAAAGUACUUUCAGUUGGGAGGCGUUACCGACAGAAGAAGCACCGGCUGAUUCCGGGCCAGCAGCCGCGGUAAUUC